rnacentral:lncRNA from 1 species
GGUUCGGACCCGAGGAACCGAGGACCCCAGCAGUGAGUCAGCUGCUCCAGUGUCUGGUCAGAGCUAUCCAAAGGUGAGUGGAAUAACUCAUUACAUUUUAAAGUAAAUAAUGGACAUUUUAGCAUGAUUCACGCAUCAUUAAUACCAUGAGAUAUACUAGGUUGUUUGCAUUAGAGUUCACGAAUAUGUUGCAUUGCAUAUUUUAUUGUUGAUGUGGAUGAACGUUGGAUGAUCCAUAGCCCUCGACCUAUGAUGUGACGAUAUGAUAUGUACGGUAUGGAAAGGAAAGACCAGUGGGACCCAUUCUACGUUCGCUGACACUAUGUAAGAGAAAGACCAGGACCCAUUCUACGUUCUGGCAUAUUGGAAUGUUAUGUUAUGCUAUGUAAGAGAAAGACCAGGACCCAUUCUACGUUCUGGCACUAUUGGAUAUGUAGAGGGCUACUGGUGACAAGGUCAUCCUUGAUGUGAUAUGUUUAUGAUGUGAUGCAUUCCAUGAGAGCAUGAAAUGUUAAUAUAAUGUUUUUAUUAUUCUGCUCACUGAGCUUUAUAGCUCACCCCUCUCCUUUAAACCCCAGGCUUGCAGGUACCGGGUAGACCAGGAGGUCAGCAAGAGUAAUGAAGUCUUGAUUAUGUAAUAGAUAGUGUGGACAUGAAAAAUGUUGAGACGUUAUGUAUAAGUACAGUAUAGAAAUGUAAUGUAAAGAUGUUCAUGGAUGUUAGAAGUGUGC